CGGCUCGCGGGCUGCCAGCGACGAGUUUCCGCACCUGCAACGUGCCCCUGCCCCCUCACGCAGCAUCCUGUCCACUCGUCCCCAGUCCCCACGCACGGCGCCCUGGGGAGCACCUAUUAGUCCGCUACAGACCGCGAUGCAGGGGGAGAUGCAUGGAAGAGGACGAUUCGGAACUCAGCAGCGAAGCUAGCUUCCGCCGAUCUCCCAUGAGUACACUCCCUUUCCAUUCUUGAUGUACUCUACUUCUCUACUUGUUGCUUCCAUCUAGAUGGCCUCUGCAAAUUUCAGCAGUGCUGGCGCAACACGCAAGUGCUAGUCCUAGUCCGCUAGUCGUAGCAUAGGAUCCACUAGCCACAAUCAUAACAGAUACAAUCCUGUUUCCUGACUUCACUCUCCUCAUCUCUUGUGAAAUUAAGAAACCUACAAGCUGAUCUGGUGAUGUAUCAUAUAUGAUUGUAUGUACUAUAAACUAAGAAUUAGUGAUUACUAAAAUUCUACACUUCCACAAUUUUAGUUUACAUUAUUAUUUAUUUUAUUUAUUAAAAAAAAGUAAAACGUAUCCGCGUAUCAUGUUUUUUGAAAAAUUGCCGUAUCCGCGUAUCCGUAUCCUUCCGAUACCGAUACGCGUAUCCGUAUCCGUGCUGCAUAGGAGCCGGGCCAACAAGGGAAAUGACGAGGGAGCCUGGCCGAGUUUACUUGAAAUUUUAGGUUACUAGUAGCGUGCCGUGCGUUGCUACGAGAUAGCUAACAUUUUUUAUUAAAAAUACACGUAUCGCACAAUAAGAUAAUAAUAUUAUAAUAAAACUUAAAUACCAGCUAUAAAGUGAUAUUUAUCUUAAAAAAAGCAAAGUUUCUGAAAUCAAACAUAGUCACGUUGCUACGGAUAGCUAACAUUUUUUAUUAAAAAUACACGUAUCGUACAAUAAGAUAAUAAUAUUAUAAUAAAACUUAAAUACCAGCUAUAAAGUGAUAUUUAUCUUAAAGAAGCAAAGUUUCUGAAAUCAAACAUAGUCACAGAGAGCAUGAUGUCAUAAGUUCACAAAUUCUACUUUAUAGACCUUUCGGUGAUAAGACCAAGAUAAUGUUUAAUAUCGGUGAUACACAGGUUUGAGAAAAACAAGUUUUACAGAAUAUGAUGAUAAUCUCCACUUGAAAAUAAAUGAUUAUGCAGGAAAUCUAAUUUGAGCAGUAACAUAGUAGCAAAAGGCAUACACUGUUGAUUUGAGCAUAUAACACGAAAUCUAAUUUGAGCACAUAACAGGUUGUUUACUUGUUAUAUAAAGGAAUACACUGUUGAAUUGAAACGUUAAAAAGAACCUAGGAAAAUUCAAACCUGAAGCAAGAUUCUCAAUCGUUCGAGUCGAGCAACAGCAGCACGUGACCUGUGCAAAUCAGAAAUGAAGUAAUUUAGAGCAUAUAUAAUGAUAAUCUGCACUUGAAAAUAAAUGAUUAUGCAGGAAAUCUAAUUUGAGCAGUAACAUAGUAGCAAAAGGCAUACACUGUUGAUUUGAGCACAUAACAGGAAAUCUAAUUUGAGCACAUAACAGGUUGUUUACUUGUUAUAUAAAGGAAUACACUGUUGAAUUGAAACGUUAAAAAGAAC
rnacentral:lncRNA from 1 species